rnacentral:rRNA from 1 species
UACGUAGGGCGCAAGCGUUGUCCGGAAUUAUUGGGCGUAAAGAGCUCGUAGGCGGCUUGUCACGUCGGGUGUGAAAGCCCGGGGCUUAACCCCGGGUCUGCAUUCGAUACGGGCAGACUAGAGUGUGUGGAGGGAGACGUAGUCGAAUUCCUGGUGUAGCGGUAGAAAUGCGCAGAUAUCAGGAGGAACACCGGAGUGGCGAAGGCAGGUCUCUGGGCCGAUACUGACGCUGAGGAGCGAAAGCGUGGGGAGCGAACAGG